AUAAUACAAGGUGGAGAGGAAAAAAAAGUGUGUAUGUUUGCACAAAAGGACACUGCCUAUAUUUUAAGUCAUAGAUCUUAAUUUGUGAAACUUUUAAUAUCCUACAUUCACAAACACUCAUAGAAACCAUUGCACUCAGAGUGGGCGGGCUUAAAACCCCUCCCACUCACCCAUUGAUUAAACUGAUGUUUCCCAUGGCCAAUCAGAGCAAGAGGUCACCUUUAACGGCCUUUAACCUUUAAUGCAAAUGAGAGGCACACAGGUAACAGGCCAGUCAGUCUUGUGUAAUGAACCUGUACCUAUAGUUAACUGAAGCGUGUCUAUUUUGCUCUGGAGUGAAGAUUAAAGUUUCACCUGGUGGAGCUAAAGUUUUGCUAGCUAACGUUACGUCACCACUCAACGUGAUAAGUAAGCUCAUGCAAACAAGUUAGCUAGCCUGGAUGAUUUAUGACAGUAUUUAUAUAUGACGGGUCAGCCGAUGAAGACUUCCUUUCCUCUCGUUUGCUCUGAUGGCGUGGGAAAACUGACUGAAUCUGUUUAUCUCUGUCGAGGACACGGUCUACUUUUUCUUCGUGAAAUCGUCCCGGACCCUGGAAAGGACUGUGGUGGAAGUGGAAUCCUUCCCUUUAAGACCUGUCCAAGACGGGUGAUCUGUCCAGGAUGUGCAGAUGGAUUAUUCUGGCGUUUGUGUCUUCAGAAUUUCGCUGAUUAUACCAGGCUUUUGUUGCACUUGCAGUGGCGUGUGAUUCCUGGACUUAUAUGUUCCAACCCCUUUUGGCAAGACUUUUUACAUCAAGACCCUGUCUUCUGUCAUGCAUUUGGUUUCCUGUCGCUCUUGGUUCCACUGGUCAUAACAAGAUUCAGAUUUAAUGAAAACAAAACUAAGAGUUUGGUUAAGAUGAGGAGAAUAUCAGCUUCAUGGUUAACAGAAACCAGUGUCAACUGUUGGAUCUACUGCACCUUUUGAAUAAAUUACCAAUAUUGUCGAAACAAUGAAUAUUUGCCUGUGUUUUUAGAUUGUUGAAGUUAACAGAGUUGUCAUUGUUGGUUAUUUUAAUAUUAAAGGUGACAAGGGCUGAGAUGUCAGCAGCUGUUAAGUUGCAAGUUCAAAAGCCUGUCAUCUUGUCAGUCUAAUUGUCAUACGCAGCUUG
rnacentral:lncRNA from 1 species